rnacentral:rRNA from 1 species
GAUGAACGCUGGCGGCGUGCCUAAUACAUGCAAGUCGAGCGAACGGACGAGAAGCUUGCUUUUCUGAUGUUAGCGGCGGACGGGUGAGUAACACGUGGAUAACCUACCUAUAAGACUGGGAUAACUUCGGGAAACCGGAGCUAAUACCGGAUAAUAUUUUGAACCGCAUGGUUCAAAAGUGAAAGACGGUCUUGCUGUCACUUAUAGAUGGAUCCGCGCUGCAUUAGCUAGUUGGUAAGGUAACGGCUUACCAAGGCAACGAUGCAUAGCCGACCUGAGAGGGUGAUCGGCCACACUGGAACUGAGACACGGUCCAGACUCCUACGGGAGGCAGCAGUAGGGAAACUUCCGCAAUGGGCGAAAGCCUGACGGAGCAACGCCGCGUGAGUGAUGAAGGUCUUCGGAUCGUAAAACUCUGUUAUUAGGGAAGAACAUAUGUGUAAGUAACUGUGCACAUCUUGACGGUACCUAAUCAGAAAGCCACGGCUAACUACGUG